GACCUCGCUUGGAGAUUGUGGUAGGCAAAGUCCCCCAAGGAUGCCUGUGCUCUAAUGCCCAGAACCUGAAAAGAAAGUGCGUAAGCAACAUAAAUAUACAACUUUGCGAAUCCAGUGGCAAAUUCUCUUCUGUUGCAAAGCCUACAUAAGGUCCUGAAGAAAGCUCAUGCGCUUUCCUGAACAGAGGAAGUAUCCUUUGCCUUUCCUGUGGAAUUGAUGAGACCAAAUGUCGUCAAACCUACUUCCAAGGCUUCUGAAGAGCCGCCAUAGUAUAAUGUGUCUUGUACCAUCUCAGUGAUUGAUUUGAAGCAAGCAACCACAAAUCCUACAGCUGUACAGAACUGGAUGCUGCCAACAUGGAAACAGGAAAGUGGAUGCGUCCUUAGACAAGCCUAUGGAUGAGAACCAACUCCAGAUGAUACCUUGACUGCUGCUCUGAAAGAUCCUAAUCAUAGGACCCAAGGAAGCUCUGCCUGGACUCCGGAGUCACACAAACAGAUGUGUUGUUUUAAUCCACUACAUUCAGUGGUGGUAAAUUGUGUUACACAGCAAUAUAUAAUGAAUAUCAUGCAUGUGAAGAUCUCAAGAAUUAGAAGAGAAUAAAGGCUAUAAAUCCUCUGAAAUGAAAACCAAGGAAGAUUUGGAAACUUUCAAAAAUUCAAUUUGGACUAAAAAUGCAAAUAAUCUGAUUGAUGAAGGAAGAAAAAAUUAGAUAUCUAAAAUGUGAUUAAAUAAAAACUCCCUGGUCAUCUCAGAUUUUUUAAAUAUUAAAAAA
ensembl:lncRNA novel transcript